rnacentral:lncRNA from 1 species
UUGCAUCAAAUGUAUGUAAAAAUCUAGCUUUUAUAUAUUAACUUGUGAUCAGAGCAACUGGUAUGUUGGUUGGAUAUUUUACAUAUCCAUUCGAUGUUUAUCACCAGAAGUUAGUUCUACCUUUGCAGUACCUCUGCUCUACAUACCUCCUCGCUGGUUAAAGAAUGGAAUAUAAAUCUCAUAUCAAGUUGGUGUAAAAAUUUAGUUCAAUAAAUUAAGAAUUUGUAAA